AUCCAGCAAUGCCGCGUGCAGGAUGAAGGCCUUCGGGUUGUAAACUGCUUUUGUACGGAACGAAAAGCUUCGGGCUAAUACCCUGGAGUCAUGACGGUACCGUAAGAAUAAGCACCGGCUAACUACGUGCCAGCAGCCGCGGUAAUACGUAGGGUGCAAGCGUUAAUCGGAAUUACUGGGCGUAAAGCGUGCGCAGGCGGUUUUGUAAGACAGAGGUGAAAUCCCCGGGCUCAACCUGGGAACUGCCUUUGUGACUGCAAGGCUAGAGUACGGCAGAGGGGGGUGGAAUUCCGCGUGUAGCAGUGAAAUGCGUAGAUAUGCGGAGGAACACCGAUGGCGAAGGCAACCCCCUGGGCCUGUACUGACGCUCAUGCACGAAAGCGUGGGGAGCAAACAGGAUUAGAUACCCUG
rnacentral:rRNA from 1 species